rnacentral:tRNA from 1 species
GGCUCGAUAGCUUAGUUGGUAAAGCACUUGUCUAGCGAAUAAAGGUCGUGAGUUCAAAUCUCACCUGAGCUG